rnacentral:rRNA from 1 species
GUUUGGGCUCGAGGGGGUCGAGCGGAGAGGUAAGUGUGAGCUUGGGAGCUGGAGAGGUGGGUCGAGUCGGAGCGGCAGCGGUCCCUCGCCCCGUCGGACGAGGUGGUGAGGCCGGCCGCUGGCGCGCCGUAGGACGUCGCUCCAGACUUAACCAGUAAUACCACUCCUUUUCACGUCUCUUUUCAAUACCAGCAUACCGACGUACGUGUAGUUCAGGACUUGGGAGUCUUUUAUUGGGUUCCGUCUUAAAGACAAAUCCUCUAUAUUGUACCCAAUUCGUACUACCGAGGAGUACCACCGGUCGGGUCCAGUAACUACUUCGUACACGGUCAUCGUUCCGGUUCUUCUUCUGGUCGGUACUGCGAGACCAAGCUGACAUACCGUGUACGGAUCUGAACAUACAACUGGGAACCUUCAGAUUGUACCUUAAGCUUUACAAAGACUUCUUUCUUUUAUUCUGUCGGUACCUUCGUAAGGUACUCCACGAAGUCUUCCUCGAGAGAGUAAAAUUCAGCCGGUCACUACUGCUCCUCCUUCGACAGUUGUGUUUUCGGUUCUGCAGAUGAUUCUUUCAGUCUUUCGUUCUUCGGAAUCUCGUCCUGGUUCUUCAAGCCUCGUUACGUCUUCCACCUCCACGACGAGUCUUUCCUUUUUUCGUCUUUCCACACUCCGUUCGUUCACGAGAACUGUUUCGAAACUCAUAUCUAAGACGACUUCCAAAUUCUCUAUUCUGUGGGUUCGUUCGAAGACGACACGCUCUAUUUUUCUCACCAUUCUUCCGUAGUAGUCCUUGUAGCCACCGGUUUUUCCUUCCUAGGAGUUUCGCCAGCCCGGCAUGGUUAGACUUCCUUGUAAGUCUACGCCGCCUCCUGUCGUGUAGUGUCGAGGUACAAAGUUCGCGUUCACUUUUACGUCGACUUCGUCCUCUGUACUGUAGGCACUUAGCUUCGGUCGUGUUUUGACCAAACUGCCAGCUUCCUUGGGUGGCCUUCUAUUUUCGAUACCAGUCCCUAUAUGACGACCCCCUGCAGUAUCUGUCCGUCGAACGACGACUUUACCGUAUACACCUACUUCACUAGAAACCUUAGACACUUCGAUGGCUCCGUUUCCGCUGACGACGAUGAUGAUGACUCUGUCUCCCACCUGAUUCGUGGUUCGCCCGGCGAUCACCCGACCUCCGACUGAGUUCGGCACGACGCUUCUUCUUUGGAUCUUUCCCGUUCCGCCGUUUCGGCCUCUGGUUCCUGGGGUUGAGAAGAGGAUCGUCCCCGCGCCCCCCUAGCCUCGUCGCAUCGCACGCGGUCUAGUUCUAGUACGUCUCGGACCCGGACUAGCGCGGCAACCCUAGAGGCAAGCUGCACUUCCCAAGACGACGUCAGCGGGCAACUACUAUAAAACAUUCGUGUGGUAACCAAGACAUACCUUUGGACAUCAAUACAACGGAUGGACUAGAUGGAUGAUCAAAUGAUCACGGUUAAAGACAAGAACAAAUGCCUUCUAAGCCGGGCCUGUAUCGACGACGCGUGCAUUCGCGUGUCAAUCAAGAUAGACAUAGUCGCGUUUCUGCUCGGCGUCAGCGAGUCACGACAUGGCUUAACUAAUAAUUCUAUAAUUCAGCGCUGAACCUAAUAAAGGCGAACCACCAUCCUAGACGACACUAGCUACGCCACCGUACUCACUGGGUUACGAGUCCAAUAGAACUCAAUCGUGUAACAUACUCGACACCUGUAAAGUUACGGUACAGCUAAAAUGUAGACUAAGCACUGAUAUUACACGAUUAAAAUGUGCUCAUGAGGG